GAUGAACGCUGGCGGCGUGCCUAAUACAUGCAAGUCGAGCGAACGGACGAGAAGCUUGCUUCUCUGAUGUUAGCGGCGGACGGGUGAGUAACACGUGGAUAACCUACCUAUAAGACUGGGAUAACUUCGGGAAACCGGAGCUAAUACCGGAUAAUAUUUUGAACCGCAUGGUUCAAAAGUGAAAGACGGUCUUGCUGUCACUUAUAGAUGGAUCCGCGCUGCAUUAGCUAGUUGGUAAGGUAACGGCUUACCAAGGCAACGAUGCAUAGCCGACCUGAGAGGGUGAUCGGCCACACUGGAACUGAGACACGGUCCAGACUCCUACGGGAGGCAGCAGUAGGGAAUCUUCCGCAAAGGGCGAAAGCCUGACGGAGCAACCCCGCGUGAGUGAUGAAGGUCUUCGGAUCGUAAAACUCUGUUAUUAGGGAAGAACAUAUGUGUAAGUAACUGUGCACAUCUUGACGGUACCUAAUCAGAAAGCCACGGCUAACUACGUG
rnacentral:rRNA from 1 species